rnacentral:lncRNA from 1 species
GCUGCUGUUGCUUCAAACCGAGAAGGCUCUGCUGCCAGCAGAGAGCUCACACCUCAGCUGACACCACACUGCAGAGCCGUCUCUUCCUCUGCUGUGAGACAUCCGGGUAAUUAACAGGUUUAAGGUUACCAUUAUCACCCAGCUAGCAGCGUUCUUUCAAACGCACAUUUGGUUUUUCUGCCGCUGGGCAAGAUGGAAACGGUGGACCAGACAACACGCUUUGGAAAAUGAGCAGCUAACUGGGAUCAGAUUGAAGAUGGUUAUGAUCGGAGGCUCUUUAUGAUGCAAAUAUUAUAUUUCAGGAUUAAAACGGUCAAUAAUGACGCGAUUAUCAGCUUAUGUAAUUACCACCAGUUCUGUAUCAAUGUACAAUCAGGUGGAUUUUGGCCUUUUCGGUCAAAUUGAGACCUUUUUUUCCAUCAGAUGAUCUUUUGGAUUGAAUUUAACCUGCUAACUAGUUGCCUUUAUAACCACCCCACCCCCACCCCCAUCACAGAACAACCUGCAUGUGUUCCAGAUUGUUCUGCUUGCCAGAACAGACUGGGCAGAACACCAGUACAUCUCAAGAUGAAGGUCCAACUCUUCAGGGAUCCUUGGAGCGGAGACAGCCGGCUCAUUUAGCUCGGACAGAUUCGGUGGCGGUAACCAUCCAUCUGAUGGUUUCUGAAGACUCACGCGCCCGCUCUCACGCACGUGCAGACACCGCUCACCCUGCCAGAGUCCCGCUGAAUACAAAAAGCAUCACCACAGCCUGCAAGAGGAGAGAGAGAGGCGCGGGCAACUUUGUCACCUCAACGUUUUGUUUUGGCUAUUCAUCAUUAAAACGUGAAUUUAAUGAAUCAUUCGGUCCAUAAAAAAACAAACUUCCUCUAAAUCCACCAGAGACAAUCUGAUCAAAGAAAUCUGACUGUAACCCUUGUUCUAUCCUAGGUACUUUACCAUUGGGAGGUGGGUCAUCUAGACCCACUAGACAGUGCUGUGAUCCUUUUUUCUUCAAUGAUUUGUGAUCUUCACUGGUGUCCAUGGAUUACAUGAAAUCUUUCCACCUUUAUCCACCUUUGUCAUGUUAGGGAGAACACCUCAAUGGAAGGGGGGGGGGUUCAUCUAAGAUAGCACAAGGGUUAAAGGUCUUCCAAACGUUUUAACUGAAAGAAAGAGAGAAAAAAAGAUUUAAAGAAAACUUGAUCUUUUGUCCUUACUAACAUAGAUUAUCAUUUUGGUCAAUCUUUCUACAGAAUGAGCCUCACUUUAGUCUCCGUAUUUGUUUGUUUUACUUCCUCAAAAAAAGUCAUCUUUUCAUUUAUUAAGUUUUGCUCCAUUUUUGUACAUAAAAAAACAAUAACGAUGUUGUCUGAGAGGAUCCAGAGCAGCCUGUGAGGUUCUGAGCUUCAUCUCUGCUAAACAAAGAGGAAGAUCCUGUUUCAUUGGAAGCAGAAUCAGAAAACCCAGACCUGCUGCCCUAAAAACUCAUUCAAGAGGCUUCCUGCUUGAGAUUUUUAAGUCAAUCAGAGUUCAGCUGUGUUUUGUAUCACCAAGAAUCUCAUCAUCAUUAAUUAGACUGGUGAGUAAAGGCGGGUGAAGGAUAAGAAUUAAGACACAUUUACUUAUUUGGCCUUUCUCAGCACAACAAUUCAGCAUUUUUAAUUAAAUCUGAAACUUUUUCAUCUAAGUUCUGACUAGAAACAUACAGAAUUGCAGCUUAGACUUUCAUUUUAAAAACAAAAAGCACAUUUUUACAAUCCAUUCAGAGACUUGCAUCUCUUUGUGAUGAAUUACUCCUUCAUCAUGAAAAGUGACGCCUUAAGCCUUUUCAUAAGAGACAUGUUUUGUUUUGAACCUCUUUUUAUUGAGUGUUUGAUGAAAUUCUGAGCUGCAUCUGCAUCCAUAAAAAAACACUUUUCCUGAGGGCGUCCCUCGACAGUGAGGGCGUCUCCCCUGAGAUCCUCUUGUCAGGUCAUAAACUGACCAUGGAUGGUGGGAUGUGAUGUUUACAGCGUUUCUGUAGCCGCUGGAAGCGCAAACAAAAUGCAAUAUAUUCAAACUUUGGUAGGAUUAAAAGCAAUUAUUUGCUGAAAAACAAGUUGAGCUCAUUGAAAUGAUGAAGCAGACGCAGGUGGGAGAAAACUUACAAAACAAACUGGAACAUGACUAGAAACACCAAAUGAAAAAACUGCAGUUCCUGUUAGAAGAACAUGGACACGUGGAGUUUUGCAUCUUUUCUCAGUUUAACUUCAGAUAUGGGCCUAAAUGCCAAAGCUUUGGGGUGAAAACAAUCUCAGGGAAAACUGCCAAGCAGAAGAACUAAUCCAGAAAAUGGUUUAGACUCUCAAUCUGACGAUUGUAUUCCUCUGAAUCCAAUCAGAUGGUUUCCACCAUCCUGAAGGAGGAUUUCAAUAGUGUUGGUGGGUUGGAGUCCUGGUUCAUAAGCCCCUUAGAAGCAAAGACUCCAGACCAAAAAACAACAGUCAUAACAUCUGCUCUUUUAGGGGCUAUUUUCCUAAACCUGCUCUAACCAGGACAGAAGAAACGCUGUUGGUCCUGCCAGUCCUCCAAUUAUCAGAGAAGGCUGAAGCUGUGAAUCAGAAUCCUCUGGGGGUGGCAGAUUAUCCAUUUGGUGUAUCUCCUACAUGUCUGUGGUUGGAACACCAGAAUCCCAAGUUAUCCCCAGAAUAAUCUCCCAAAAUCACAACAAGUGGGAAAAAAUGUUAGAGAACUCAAGGCUGUCACGGAGCAGCAGACAUGACGAGAACACGGCAGAGAUAUCAGGAACUUCAUGUGUGCAACACUACGGCAUGGCUGCAGGAAGGAAUUUUGAGGCGAUGAGAAGAAACAGACAGCAGACCUCCUCUGCAUCCCGGAUGCUGAGCUGCUGACUGCCGGUUUCAUCAGCUCCCUUGUUUCCUGUCUACAAACAAAAUGCUGCCAUGCUUUCAGGGUCACCUCUGGAGACUGACUCCCUCCUGUCUCUGCCUCACUUGUGACUUUCAAACUAUUUAUCCACUGAUUGUAAUUUGUUUCCGUUCCUCAGUAUUUUGUUCUAUUUCUCCACGUUUCCUGACGUUCCUGCUUUGUUCUUCAGAUCUGAUUAAAGCUCAU